rnacentral:misc_RNA from 1 species
UUCUUUAAUUUGAAUACCAUGUGGCGGAGUGAUAAUGAAGAACUACAUAAUGAAAUUACUUAUUCUAAUAUACAAUCAGAUGAGUUAUGGGAUACAAUUCAAAUAAAACCGGUUGAAAUUGAUGACUAUUAUGAGCAGCUUGAUGAGAUAUGUUAUUUGAUGGAUUUAUAUGGUGAUUCUAAUUAUGCUCCUUGUGGUUUAUUUGAUGAGUAUCAAGAUAUACAAAUAAUCUUACAAUAUAGGGAGGGAGAACUUGAAGAAUGU